UGCAAGUCGUGCGGAAAGGCUCCUUCGGGAGCACUCGAGCGGCGCACGGGUGAGUAACGCGUGGGUAAUCUGCCUUCGGGUCCGGGACAACUUCGGGAAACUGGAGCUAAUACCGGAUAAGACUACGGGACCCUCGGGUCCUGCGGAAAAAGGUGGCCUCUGCUUGCAAGCUACCGCCUGUUGAUGAGCCUGCGUCCCAUUAGCUAGUUGGUGGGGUAACGGCCCACCAAGGCGACGAUGGGUAGCUGGUCUGAGAGGAUGAUCAGCCACACUGGAACUGAGACACGGUCCAGACUCCUACGGGAGGCAGCAGUCGGGAAUUUUGGGCAAUGGGCGAAAGCCUGACGCAGCGACGCCGCGUGAGGGAUGACGGCCUUCGGGUUGUAAACCUCUUUCAGCCCUGACGAAGCGAAAGUGACGGUAGGGGCAGAAGAAGCACCGGCCAACUACGUGCCAGCAGCCGCGGUAAUACGUAGGGUGCAAGCGUUGUCCGGAAUUAUUGGGCGUAAAGAGCUCGUAGGCGGUCUGUCGCGUCGGCUGUGAAAACUCGGGGCUCAACCCCGAGCUUGCAGUCGAUACGGGCAGGCUGGAGUUCGGCAGGGGAGACUGGAAUUCCUGGUGUAGCGGUGAAAUGCGCAGAUAUCAGGAGGAACACCGGUGGCGAAGGCGGGUCUCUGGGCCGAUACUGACGCUGAGGAGCGAAAGCGUGGGGAGCGAACAGGAUUAGAUACCCUGGUAGUCCACGCCGUAAACGUUGGGCGCUAGGUGUGGGAUCCCUUCCACGGGUUCCGUGCCGCAGCUAACGCAUUAAGCGCCCCGCCUGGGGAGUACGGCCGCGAGGCUAAAACUCAAAUGAAUUGACGGGG
rnacentral:rRNA from 1 species